UUUAGUCACUUGGGGUUAAAUAUGAGUGCUGGGAAAAGAGCAACUGCAUUUUUGUAGAGUUUAUUUAUAAUGACUUUAGUGUUUUGUUAUUCAUUUGGAAAUUACCAGUUUCUUGCUAGCUCACUGGCUGAUCAACCUUACUUUCUUUCUUUGUUCCAUCUAGAUCUAGAUGCACAAUCUCUCUUUCCCUGCAAGGCAGAGGUGUACCCAACAUCCGUGAGAUAUUUUUUGGCUUUUCGGUUUAGAGGGGGCCUGUGAAAACCUCAUGUCUAUUUUGUGUACAUUUCCUCCUGCAGUCCCUCUUGUAUUCAAGUAGGAAAUGAAGUAAAAAAAAAGAGAAAGUUUAAAUCUGGUUUGACUAAACAUGUGAAAUGACUGACUUUGCAGGUAGAUGGAUAUCUCUGCAGGUUGCCCCUUGCCUUGAAAUAUUUGGAGUAUUUAUAGUAAGUUUGGACAAAUGUCAGAUGCCUUUGUGGGUCAUAAAGAAACUUGACAGCAGAUCAAACAUUCCGUGAAGUGUAGUAGAAAGCAGGAAGAAUGACACUUGCUAAUUUGAAUUUCAGAAAGCACCUAAACCACAUUCUGAUCUCCGGAUUCUUACAAAUAGACCUUUUCAUUAUUUGUUCUGAUAUUUUGCUGGUGAUUG